GACCCUUUUAUUGACCAAAUCAUCCCGCCAUAAGCUCAAAUCAUGCAAUGCCAGCCGCCUGAUUGGCUCUAAUUCGUUUUCAGAGAUGUUCUUCGAGUAGGGAGGAUCUCUUGCCGAUUGAAUUGACGAUUUUUGGAUUCAAAAUCCGGAAUUGAAGGUCCAGACCAGUAGGGACUCUAAUGUGGGACAGAUUCGGAGAGGUAAGAUUAGAGCGGGAGCUUUUCUACUUGCACCAAGAAGACAAUUUGAAUCUCUAUACUCACAACAAAA